rnacentral:tRNA from 3 species
GCAUCUUUGGCUGAAUGGCCAAAGCGCCCAAUCAUAAUUGGGAAGUCACGGGUUCAAUUCCUGCUGGAUGCA